GCGGCAAAAGCUCAAAUUUGAAAUCUGGCGCCUUCGGUGUCCGAGUUGUAAUUUGAAGAUUGUAACCUUGGGGUUGGCUCUUGUCUAUGUUUCUUGGAACAGGACGUCACAGAGGGUGAGAAUCCCGUGCGAUGAGAUGCCCAAUUCUAUGUAAGGUGCUUUCGAAGAGUCGAGUUGUUUGGGAAUGCAGCUCUAAGUGGGUGGUAAAUUCCAUCUAAAGCUAAAUAUUGGCGAGAGACCGAUAGCGAACAAGUACAGUGAUGGAAAGAUGAAAAGAACUUUGAAAAGAGAGUGAAAAAGUACGUGAAAUUGUUGAAAGGGAAGGGUUUGAGAUCAGACUCGAUAUUUUGUGAGCCUUGCCUUCGUGGCGGGGUGACCCGCAGCUUAUCGGGCCAGCAUCGGUUUGGGCGGUAGGAUAAUGGCGUAGGAAUGUGACUUUACUUCGGUGAAGUGUUAUAGCCUGCGUUGAUGCUGCCUGCCUAGACCGAGGACUGCGAUU
rnacentral:rRNA from 1 species